AUCAAUGAAAUAAUAUAGAUAUGAAUCCAAAACUUCCACUACAAGGGAGUACAGUAUCCAAAAGAAAUGCAUGAAAAUUCUUAAAUUUCUGGUUCCAAAAUUACAAGCUAUAGCAGAGCUCAUAACCCAAGAAUAGUUGUCCUCCAAGGAUAUGAGCACUACAUCAUCAGUUCGUCACCGUGCACAACACUUCUUAUCUCGGCCAAGCAAACCGAUGCAAAGAUUAUAUAUUCAAAUCUGCAACACAUAAUCUCGUAGCUCAGUCGAAGACAUCAAGUGCAUGUACAAUUGAUAAUAGAAAAUAACAUAAUUGAUGCAAAGAUUACAUAUGGAUUUCAUUUUGAUAAGAAAAGAUUUGAAGUUAAUUAUUACGAGAUCACAAUAACAAACACAUUCAGCUUGUUUGGAUGGAAUUCACUUUGAAAUGAAAUUCAAAUCGUUAGCUCUCGUUUUGAAUCAAUUUACAAGUAAUUUGGCUUCGUUCGUGAAAAGGUGAAAGAAGCCAUACCUUUCUCCUUUGAUGAUUGUCAUCGAGAACGUGUUUGCUGCUACAUUAUCACCUUAUGUUACGAUUUUCUAUUCAAAUGUUUUAAUAAUAAGAAUAAGCUUCAUCAAUGAAUGAAAGAACUACUUAUUUUGCUCUGCUCUAAACCAGACGCCACACAUAUAUACAUACUAUGUAAUAUCACUGUGAUUCUUCAAUCUGAAUCCUGCACUCUUGAAAUACAAAAGGAUAUAUUAGCAAAAUGUGCUCUAGAAUUAGAGAUAAAUCUUAUUGCCCCCUAAAACAUCAUUCAUGGAUUCUACAACUAAAGUCUGAUAUCAAAUAGACGUCCUGAAAGGUUUCAUAUAAUAAUCUGUCAAGGAGCAUACCUAGAAAGUAGCAUACACUCUUUAGUAGAAUUUCACUGUUCAACUGGAAUAUGUGAACUUUAACAUCGAGAGGAAAAGCCUGAAUUUUGUUGUUACUAGCACUCAGAAAAGUCGUUCAAUCCACCAAUUUCACUAUUUUCUGAGCAGAGCACCCACUAAAUCAUUCACGGAAUUCACAACUUAUCGAGCAUAAAUAAUCAGAAGCCUAAAACUGUGAAACAAACUCAUUUUUUUAUCAACGCGAAAAAAAAAAGAGAAAAAAACCCACCUAUUUAGAGUUGUGAAUCAUUUUUUAAUUAAUAUUUACCCUUUUAGAGUUCAAUUAAUUCACUGUAUCUAAUAGAAUUUCACGAAGAAACUAGAUAUUAACAUGACAACGAAUUUUGCAGCUCUAUCAUUUAAAAAAAUUCCAAAAAACAGAAAACUCGUCACCUGGAAUAUUAGAGAGAGCAAGAUAAUGCGGAAAAACAAAAGAAAUAAAUAUUUAACAAGAAUUUCAGUGAUACCUUUUAAGUGGCAGUCUUCGAUUUCUCUGGUAUUGAUUUGAAGAGACCAACUGUAAUUCACAAUAAAAACGAACGAAAUAUAAAUGUAUAUCGCUCCUUAAUAGCUUAUGAAUCCUGAGGCACAUUGAAUAACCAUAGAAGUUCAUAUAUCCUCCACCCAUCCAAACCAGUUUAUUGGCCAUCGGAGAAGAUUGAGAGAGGCGACGAGACGAUGAACACUUACCAUAUUUCCCAACAAUUCCAACUUUCUUGGUUCUCUUCGUUAAAGUAGCGCGGAAAAACUAGGGCUUCUCUUCUUAAUCUCGAUCGGCAUAUAUUUUGAUUUUGGGGAAGAACAUUUGGAGGUUUUGAUUUUAUUUGGCGUGUAAUUGUG
rnacentral:lncRNA from 1 species